rnacentral:miRNA from 1 species
GUCUGUGCGUACAUGUAUAUGUGUGUGCAAGUAUGUGCAGAUAUGAUGGUGCAGUGAUGAGAC